rnacentral:rRNA from 1 species
GAUGAACGCUGGCGGCGUGCCUAGUACAUGCAAGUCGAGCGAACGGACGAGAAGCUUGCUUCUCUGAUGUUAGCGGCGGACGGGUGAGUAACACGUGGAUAACCUACCUAUAAGACUGGGAUAACUUCGGGAAACCGGAGCUAAUACCGGAUAAUAUUUUGAACCGCAUGGUUCAAAAGUGAAAGACGGUCUUGCUGUCACUUAUAGAUGGAUCCGCGCUGCAUUAGCUAGUUGGUAAGGUAACGGCUUACCAAGGCAACGAUGCAUAGCCGACCUGAGAGGGUGAUCGGCCACACUGGAACUGAGACACGGUCCAGACUCCUAAGGGAGGCAGCAGUAGGGAAUCUUCCGCAAUGGGCGGAAGCCUGACGGAGCAACGCCGCGUGAGUGAUGAAGGUCUUCGGAUCGUAAAACUCUGUUAUUAGGGAAGAACAUAUGUGUAAGUAACUGUGCACAUCUUGACGGUACCUAAUCAGAAAGCCACGGCUAACUACGUG